GGCUCAGGACGAACGCUGGCGGCGUGCUUAACACAUGCAAGUCGAACGGGAAACCUUUUAUUGAAGCUUCGGCAGAUUUAGCUGGUUUCUAGUGGCGGACGGGUGAGUAACGCGUGGGUAACCUGCCUUAUACAGGGGGAUAACAACCAGAAAUGGUUGCUAAUACCGCAUAAGCGCACAGGACCGCAUGGUCCGGUGUGAAAAACUCCGGUGGUAUAAGAUGGACCCGCGUUGGAUUAGCUAGUUGGCAGGGUAACGGCCUACCAAGGCGACGAUCCAUAGCCGGCCUGAGAGGGUGAACGGCCACAUUGGGACUGAGACACGGCCCAGACUCCUACGGGAGGCAGCAGUAGG
rnacentral:rRNA from 1 species